GACUGAACUGUCCUUUUUCGGUUAUCAUGGUACCGAUGCUGUAUGUCUGAAAGGUACAGUACUGUGAUAACUGAAGAAUGGUGGUGCCAUC
rnacentral:pre_miRNA from 1 species